AUGACAUGUGAAUGGAUGACUCAAUACCUAACCCACCAACAAUUCCCACUCUUUGCCGUGCUCACCUACUCAAUUCCACCAGAAUUUUGUGUUAAACAAGUGAGCAAGGCAAAGAGUGGGAAUUGUUGGUGGGUUAGGUAUUGAGUCAUCCAUUCACAUGUCAUGGUGAGUUAAGCAUUGCAUCAUCCACUCACAUGUCAUGGUGAUUUAAGCAUUGCAUCAUCACUCAAAUUUCUGGUGAAAGUGAAUCAAUGCCCACGGCAUUGAAGAAUUUCUUGGUUUUGAGUGAAGUUUUGGUCAAUCCUUCUAGAAAUUUAUCCCUUCUUGCAACUUGUAUUUGUUUCACCAGAUUUUUAGCAUGUUCAUAGCCUCUUUUGUCUUCAAAUUCGUCCAUCCUCAUGCCUCCAUGCUUGCACAAUCCAAUCUUGGCCCAAAAAUGCUCUAGAAUGUUCCAAAUUGCUUCUUUUUGCAUACUUUGACACUAAAAC
rnacentral:sRNA from 1 species